AUCAUCUAGCAUUUGUGAUUUCACAAUCACUUUCAUGGAACUGGAUUGUGACUUGAAUUCAAGAAUCAGGAACGAGAAGGAAGCCGAUUACACAUUACAAUUAUGCACAAACAAGGAAUGUUACUCAAAUGUUUGAGGCUUAAAUAGGGUGUGAAGAAGAAUUGCAGGAUUGAAUGGAGUCAACGAGAGGGUUUUUCAUGCUUCAGAGGACAACACAAGACUCUACUUUCCUGAGGGAAGAUGGUUCUACUUUCCUUGGCAACUCGCUGGUCUAGUUAAUGGGUGCGGUGUGACAAUCUACAGCUUGCCUUCAGUACGCAUGGUGUAGAGCAGUUAAGUGAUCUGAUAUUCCAGUUAUCUUGAAUAACAACAUACAUUUGCAUAGUACCUUUCACACUGAGGAACCUGAAUGGCCUUGAAAGACAAUAGAUGGAGAGCAAUCACUUUUUUUGCACACACAAUUAACCAUGUUUAGCGAGGAGUGGCAGCCUCUGUGGCA